rnacentral:rRNA from 1 species
UAAUACGUAGGGUGCAAGCGUUAAUCGGAAUUACUGGGCGUAAAGCGUGCGCAGGCGGUUUUGUAAGACAGUGGUGAAAUCCCCGGGCUCAACCUGGGAACUGCCAUUGUGACUGCAAGGCUGGAGUGCGGCAGAGGGGGAUGGAAUUCCGCGUGUAGCAGUGAAAUGCGUAGAUAUGCGGAGGAACACCGAUGGCGAAGGCAAUCCCCUGGGCCUGCACUGACGCUCAUGCACGAAAGCGUGGGGAGCAAACAGGAUUAGAUACCCUGGUAGUCCACGCCCUAAACGAUGUCAACUGGUUGUUGGGAAUUUAUUUUCUCAGUAACGAAGCUAACGCGUGAAGUUGACCGCCUGGGGAGUACGGCCGCAAGGUUAAAACUCAAAGGAAUUGACGGGGACCCGCACAAGCGGUGGAUGAUGUUCUUUAAUUCGAUGCAACGCGAAAAACCUUACCCACCUUUGACAUGUAUGGAAUCCUUUAGAGAUGAAGGAGUGCUCGAAAGAGAGCCA